rnacentral:rRNA from 1 species
UACGGGGGGGGCAAGCGUUGUUCGGAAUUACUGGGCGUAAAGCGUGCGCAGGCGGUGAUGUAAGACAGUUGUGAAAUCCCCGGGCUCAACCUGGGAACUGCAUCUGUGACUGCAUCGCUGGAGUGCGGCAGAGGGGGAUGGAAUUCCGCGUGUAGCAGUGAAAUGCGUAGAUAUGCGGAGGAACACCGAUGGCGAAGGCAAUCCCCUGGACCUGUACUGACGCUCAUGCACGAAAGCGUGGGGAGCAAACAGG